UCCGGCUUAUCACCGGCAGUCCCUUUAGAGUGCCCAACUGAAUGAUGGCAACUAAAGGCGAGGGUUGCGCUCGUUGCGGGACUUAACCCAACAUCUCACGGCACGAGCUGACGACAGCCAUGCAGCACCUGUGCGGGCUCCCGUAGGAGGACCGUGUUUCCACGGCUUCACCCCGCAUGUCAAGCCCUGGUAAGGUUCUUCGCGUUGCGUCGAAUUAAACCACAUGCUCCACCGCUUGUGCGGGCCCCCGUCAAUUCCUUUGAGUUUUAAUCUUGCGACCGUACUCCCCAGGCGGGGUGCUUAAAGCGUUAGCUGCGCCACCGACGAGCAAGCUCGCCGACGGCUAGCACCCAUAGUUUACGGCGUGGACUAC
rnacentral:misc_RNA from 1 species